ensembl:lncRNA
GUGAAGGAGGGUGCCGUAGGGAAAAAGAAUCACACUCAACUGACCUGCAGCACCUCCUGUGGCUUGAGCAUUUUAUCAGCAGUUUGUUUCAACAGUCACACGUCCAUUUGAGUCUUUUCGUCAAAGUUGUCGUUAGUGAGAAUUUAGCAGAGGCCUCUCCGUUAGAAGGGAAAGUGAGAAAUGUCUUUUAAAAGCAUGCUCAUGUUGACUGCAAUAUUUCUCCUGAGGCUGCCAGGUGUUCAGUGUGGAGUGAGUGUGACCUACUCCUCCACACGAGUCUGUGGCCUUGAAGGGGCAUCAGUGGUCCUACCCUGCACAUAUCACUAUUCUUGGGGUCAUAUAUAUCAGAGAGGAGAGUGGUAUGAAGAGAA